AUUGAACGCUGGCGGCAUGCCUUACACAUGCAAGUCGAGCGGCAGCACGGGUGCUUGCACCUGGUGGCGAGUGGCGAACGGGUGAGUAAUACAUCGGAACGUACCUUAUCGUGGGGGAUAACGCAGCGAAAGCUGUGCUAAUACCGCAUACGCCCUGAGGGGGAAAGCGGGGGAUCGAAAGACCUCGCGCGAUUAGAGCGGCCGAUGCCUGAUUAGCUUGUUGGUGGGGUAAAAGCCCACCAAGGCGACGAUCAGUAGCUGGUCUGAGAGGAGGAUCAGCCCCACUGGGACUGAGACACGGCCCAGACUCCUGCGGGAGGCAGCAGUGGGGAAUUUUGGACAAUGGGGGCAACCCUGAUCCAGCAAUGCCGCGUGAGUGAAGAAGGCCUUCGGGUUGUAAAGCUCAUUUGUCAGGGAAGAAACACCGGCUCUAACACAGUCCGGGAAUGACGGUACCUGAAGAAUAAGCACCGGCUAACUACGUGCCAGCAGCCGCAGUAA
rnacentral:rRNA from 1 species